GCUAAGUUUUUCAAUGAAUGCACUUAAUUUUGCGCUAGGAGCCUUAUUUGGUAUCCAGAUUUAGCAACAUAUUCACUAUUAAAGGUUGACGUGAAACCACGUUGAAACAUGUAUAGUGAAAUUUACAACCGUUGAUCGGUUUAAAUAGAGAUCUUAAUUGUGUAUUAUGAAACAUUGUUCGUUUGUGAAUUUAACAUUUAGAAAUUCACUAUAUUGACAACAGUGCUUCUUCGUCAAUUACUAUUCUGUUGGAGUGACACACCCUCUCAUGGUGUAUAUCGAGUAUAAUGAAUAAACGACGAAUAAUUUCUUAUUAUAUUUAUAGUUAUUAUAAUCUACAAGAUCAUUUAAGUAAAUUAUAAGUGUGGGCAACAAAAGUAAAAGUAGUUAUGGUCCUGAGUUACACUAUCGUAGCCAUUAACUUCAAUGAGACGGAAAACCAGGUUAUUUAAAAUUUCAUCUCAUUCCUGAUUGCUUCACCACAUCUUUAUAAUCCCUGCCUGUGAAUUGUGAAUAUUUUAAAAGGUAUCGUCAUGCUCUCAUGCCUUCUUCAGGAUCUAUAGUUCAUCAUGUUUCCAAUGGAAAGAUCUACCCAUGCUAUUAUGGAAGUGAAUAGAUCUUCAAUAUCCUUUCACUAAAGAAUGUAAAGGUUGUUGUGAAUCUUGUUCUUGCCAGAAUGGAGGAAUCUUUUUCACAGAUACCGAAAGACACCUUCAUUAUGGCCAGUGUCAGAAUCACAAGCCAACAUAUGACAAUGGGAUUGAAAACAAAUUGUUUUGUCUUACUGUUAAUAAGAAAGAGAUACUAUUCAAAAGAAACUCAUUCCAUUUUUAUUGAGAGCUCUACUACUAAUAAAGCAAAUGAUCGAGUUUGUUAUAAACCCAAUGGAUUAUCUGAAGGGAUGGUAAAGCUGUGAAAAAUAUAACUGUAGGUGGUGGAAAGUGUCUCGUCCUGAAAAGUACAGUAUGCUUCAUCCACCUGCUUGAGUUUGUUUAGAGAAGACAGUCUGCUAGCACGAGCCUUAUUCAGCAUUCCAGGAAACUUGAAUAUUGUCUCCAAACAAAUAGGUGAAACUUUUGUUUCUGUGUAGUUCAUUGUUACCAAACUCUUGUCUCUUCUGCAAAUUGCUGCAUGUAAGCUGUUCGGAUUUCGACUUUGUAUCUUAGUGACACCCUUAUACCAUCAGGGUUACUAAUGCUAAAGUUCAUUUCAGACAUAAGAUUUUCGAUACAUUCAGCCCCGUUUAAUAUGAAAUUUAAGAUAUGGAGCUAUUAAAGAAGUUCUGGAUUCCACGACUGAAGAUGAUUCUGAAACAGCUGAUAUGCACCUGGAAGGCAGCAGCCUAGUUUAAGUCGUGAAUCAGUUAGAAAAUCCGAAACUGAAUUAAUAUAUUGCAGCUCAGUUGUUGGAAUCUUUUAGAUCAUUUGUGCAGAAAAUGUGCCCACUGUUUUCAGAAUUCGGAGAUUAAAAUAAAAACUAUUCAGGCUUUGACACUUACUAACAAGAACAUUUUAGGAAAAGAGAAUGGAAUAUAAGAGGGGGUCACGAAGAUACCGAUCUUUCCCUGUCGAAUAAAUUCAAAGUCUAGAUAUUCUUGGCUAUAAUGGAUAAACUGUCAUCAGCCUCAAUCAAAGACUGGCUGAAUACGAGUCGUUUCGAGAGACAUUUGUUUUUUUACCAGUAGUGGGUUCCAUGCCCACCGAGGACCUCCGUGAUGUGGUCAGGAGUUUGGUGUAAAUAUACUUUGACGACCUUGAACAGGUCACACACAAUAAACGAAACGGUUCAAUUUGCUGCUCUA